rnacentral:tRNA from 1 species
UUAAUUGAAGCCAAAUAGAGGCUUAUCACUGUUAAUGAUACAACUGAAUUAAUUAUAUUCCAAUUAAA